CUUGAAUGUCAAAACAACUCUCGGCAACGGAUAUCUCGGCUCUCGCAUCGAUGAAGAACGUAGCGAAAUGCGAUACUUGGUGUGAAUUGCAGAAUCCCGUGAACCAUCGAGUCUUUGAACGCAAGUUGCGCCCGAAGCCUUCGGGCCGAGGGCACGCCUGCCUGGGCGUCACGCAUCGC
rnacentral:rRNA from 1 species